CCUACGGGGGGCAGCAGUGGGGGAUAUUGCACAAUGGGGGGAACCCUGAUGCAGCGACGCCGCGUGGGUGAAGAAGCGCCUCGGCGCGUAAAGCCCUGUCAGCAGGGAAGAAAAUGACGGUACCUGAAGAAGACGCCCCGGCUAACUACGUGCCAGCAGCCGCGGUAAUACGUAGGGGGCAAGCGUUAUCCGGAUUUACUGGGUGUAAAGGGGGCGUAGACGGCGGUGCAAGCCAGGAGUGAAAGCCGGGGGCCCAACCCCGGGACUGCUCUUGGAACUGCGGGGCUGGAGUGCAGGAGGGGCAGGUGGAAUUCCUGGUGUAGCGGUGAAAUGCGUAGAUAUCAGGAGGAACACCGGUGGCGAAGGCGGCCUGCUGGACUGCAACUGACGUUGAGGCCCGAAAGCGUGGGGAGCAAACAGGAUUAGAUACCCUGGUAGUC
rnacentral:rRNA from 1 species